GACGGGAAACAUGGCUUCUGGGAAAAGCUGACUCAGCUCAUCUUCCGCUCUGAUCUCCGCCAGCGAGCGCACAGCUGGAACAGACGUAAUAAAGAGGACAAGGGGUCGGUCACUCCGCCUGCCGGCCCGGAACACCAGAGGUGACCCGAACCUUCAGAAUUCUGCGUCAGCUGCUGAGCUUUCCAUCCCAGACAGCCACCCAGCCUUUCCGGGCAGGUCACGGGAGAGCAGUCCAUAUCGUUACCUGACUUUAAAGGCCACGUGCACUGGCCACAGGAAAGCGGGAUUUUCUUAUGAUAAUGUGGUUUCUGUCAUAUGUGCCACCCUCUGGGCUAGAUCUGCUGACUUCCUUAAAGCAAUUCGUAUUACCGACUUAUGCUACCGGUUGCAGGCACAGCCAUGUCGAGGACCAAUGCCUUGGGCCCACAGGAAACUGGCAAAAGCCUUCCUCGGGUCAGGCUCAGAAUGGCACAGCCGCCCUGAAGUCCAAGCGCACGUGUUUAUGAGUGACUCGCCAGUGUGUGCAGAAACCAGCAGCUGCGGCUUCCUCCUCCAGGGUGUUUACAGCCUGAGACUGCCGCCUACCGUGUCUAGCUAACUCCUCCCCCUGUGCCGUCCACAGCAAACACGCCGGGGUUCUGGGCUGCUGAAGUAGUUGGUGCCGUGUACCAGAGCGUACAGGCCCUGUGAUCCCAGCUUUCCUGUGUCUGUGGGUCCAUCUUUUCUCUCACUGCCCCUAGCUGGGAGUAUUUGGCUCAGUAUAUUAAGGCAGCCAAGUAACGCCACUCAGCAGGCCUUUCUCCAGCAAUACUAUGUAACAGGCCUUUCUUCACCCCCGUUUCCCUAGUACUCCGAGCGUGUCAUUCCACCUGCAGGAGAGGCCCCCGAGGAAGAGUGCAGGCUAUUAGGCAUGUAAUAGCCGAGGACCGGUGGAGAAGACUGAUUAACUUGGAGGUUUCCUCAGUACAUACAGGAGGCAGGGUCGGAUCCCUGCCCUCUGACCCUGCUGCCUCCCUGACAAAGACAAACACUCGGAAAUAAGGCAGGACCGGUGAGUCGCAUUCGGAGCCCAGGCAAGCUAAGAGUGGGUCAUGAGCCGGCUGGGCCUGGCCUCUUGGAAUUAUAGGGAUCUAGGUCUAUCUAUCUAUCUAAAGGGUACCGGGGCUGCCUCUCUCUCCCCGGAGGCCUGGCCAGGAGCAGUCAGAGUCCCUGCAAAUGGACCUUCAUCUUUUUCCGCUAGUGGUGGUGACAAGCCAGGUUACCCUAGUUGUUAAGAAAUUAAUUUCCGAAUGCUGCCUACCUACUGUGGAAAACACAGCGCACCGCCUAGAACGGAGUCUCGGGCUUACAAUUUUGGAACAUGCAGGAAGCUAAAGCAGAAGAAUUGCUGCAAACUGGAGUAUAGCCUGGGCUAUAUACAGUGUGGGAGCUGUCCCAGAACACCAAGUAAACAAAGGAACUGGGUAGAAAAGACGGCCGCUCCUCUAUGGAGGUGUCCCUGCAGCUCCGCCCCCCAAGCCCCCCCCGUGUGUUACCUUUCCU